GACAAGAUGGCUGAAUGGUUGAGGCAACGGACUGCAAAUCCGUAUCAUGUGGGCCUGCCUGCGGUAGGCAGGUUCGAAUCUCACUCUUGUCU
rnacentral:tRNA from 1 species